GUGCUAGCUUUGGCAUCACAUAUCCUAAAAUUGGAACGAUACUGAGAUUAGCAUGGCCCCUGUGAAAGGAUGACACGCAGGUUCAUGAAGCACUCCAAAUCAAA
rnacentral:snRNA from 1 species